rnacentral:misc_RNA from 1 species
UAAUAAGUGUUUUAUGGCACUUUUUAAAUCCAUAUCCACCUUGUGUGCAAUGUCAGUCGAUCUUCUUCAUGGAGAUCGACCAAACAUCAACCUUUAUUUUUUAACUCUUUGUCUUAAAAAUAUUAUGAAUAAACAAUUCAAAAUA